CUUCACGACAACUGUCUGGAAGAUAUCUGUUAUACCUACGUCGGUACUAAACAAUCUAAACGCUGACAUUAAGAAACUAACUACUACAGCUGAUGUAGUCUAAGACUCUACGAGUUGGUAUCAAAACAGCACGACGACACAGAUGAUGGAGGAUCGUCAAG